UACAGAGGGGGCAAGCGUUGUUCGGAAUUACUGGGCGUAAAGGGCGCGUAGGCGGCCUGCUAAGUCGAACGUGAAAUCCCCGGGCUCAACCCGGGAACUGCGUCCGAUACUGGUUGGCUUGAAUCCGGGAGAGGGAUGCGGAAUUCCAGGUGUAGCGGUGAAAUGCGUAGAUAUCUGGAGGAACACCGGUGGCGAAGGCGGCAUCCUGGACCAAUUCUGACGCUGAGGAGCGAAAGCCAGGGGAGCAAACGGG
rnacentral:rRNA from 1 species